AUUGAACGCUGGCGGCAGGCCUAACACAUGCAAGUCGAACGGUAACAGGAAACAGCUUGCUGUUUCGCUGACGAGUGGCGGACGGGUGAGUAAUGUCUGGGAAACUGCCUGAUGGAGGGGGAUAACUACUGGAAACGGUAGCUAAUACCGCAUAACGUCGCAAGACCAAAGAGGGGGACCUUCGGGCCUCUUGCCAUCGGAUGUGCCCAGAUGGGAUUAGCUUGUUGGUGGGGUAACGGCUCACCAAGGCGACGAUCCCUAGCUGGUCGGAGGUGAUGACCAGCCACACUGGAACUGAGACACGGGCCAGACUCAUACGGGAGGCAGCAGUGGGGAAUAUUGCACAAUGGGCGCGAGCCUGAUGCAGCCGUGCCGCGUGUAUGAAGAAGGCCUUAGGGUUGUAAAGUACUUUCAGCGGGGAGGAAGGUGUUAAGAUUAAUACUCUUAGCAAUUGACGUUACCCGCAGAAGAAGCACCGGCGAACUCCGUGCCAGCCGCCGCUGUAA
rnacentral:rRNA from 1 species